AUCACGAUUAUCGAAAUAUUUUUCAUCGAACCGCCAGCCAUGGAGAACAUUCAGAAAACCAGCAAAGAAAAAUGGUUUCAUUUUAGGAAAAAAUUUAGGUCCUUAUUCAAACAAGCCUAAUUCUACCUGGAAAAAGAGAGGGGAAGAGGAUUUUGCAAACAAAAUCUUUACAACGCACCUUAAACACAAAUAUUAUCGAUGAACUGAAGUAAAAAACGUGAGAGUAAGCGGAGUAAGUAUAAAAAACUAAUAUUUUGAAAAACUUUUUAGCCAAUGCCAGUGUAGAUUUAAAAUUAUUAGAGUAAAAGAAAGGCAUCCGAUUAAAUUUUAAACUAAAAAAACAAAAACAAUGAGCAGUAGAUGCAGGAUAGGCUUAGGAAAUUAUAAUUAUAAUAUACUUUGCUACAAUGAUUAAUAUCAACUUUAAACAAAGAAUUGUUAAAUUGAUAGUCACUUAGGAAAUUAUUAAAAAAAAAAUCUGUAACACGACACUACACAAAUAUGUAAAAUCUCACCUACACGAACACAAAUAUCAUCAAACGUUAACAUUCGGAUACAGCGGAUAGCAGCAAUACAACUACAACAUUUCGGACAACACAUUUGGCAUCAACGAAUUAUUGGAAGUAUUGCAUUCAUAAAUUGCAGAAAAUUGAGACAGGAGAUGAGUUGUAUAAAAAAAUGGUGGAACAUAACAAUGAUGGAGAUACAAGGCAAAGAAUGGUUAUGAUGCUAAAUUAUAUUACAUGGAAUAGUUUCUGUUUGUUCAGUCAGAAGCAAAAACUUCUCAACCGGAAAAAUAUAUAUCAAAACUGACAAUUAAGGCAAGACAUCCAAAUACAAUUCUCGGAUCUAAUGGAAAGGAACAAGUAUGGCAAAAUGAUGAAACAUGAUCUGUACACUACAAUCAGAUCUUAUGGAAUGGAAUGAAAAGUUUCGAUUGAGGUCCACGAAAAUUUUAUCGACUGCAGAACACAAAGAAGGACUAACGCAGAUCUCUA